AGAGUUUGAUCCUGGCUCAGGAUGAACGCUGGCGGCGUGCCUAAUACAUGCAAGUCGAGCGAACAGACGAGGAGCUUGCUCCUCUGACGUUAGCGGCGGACGGGUGAGUAACACGUGGAUAACCUACCUAUAAGACUGGGAUAACUUCGGGAAACCGGAGCUAAUACCGGAUAAUAUAUUGAACCGCAUGGUUCAAUAGUGAAAGACGGUUUUGCUGUCACUUAUAGAUGGAUCCGCGCCGCAUUAGCUAGUUGGUAAGGUAACGGCUUACCAAGGCAACGAUGCGUAGCCGACCUGAGAGGGUGAUCGGCCACACUGGAACUGAGACACGGUCCAGACUCCUACGGGAGGCAGCAGUAGGGAAUCUUCCGCAAUGGGCGAAAGCCUGACGGAGCAACGCCGCGUGAGUGAUGAAGGUCUUCGGAUCGUAAAACUCUGUUAUUAGGGAAGAACAAAUGUGUAAGUAACUAUGCACGUCUUGACGGUACCUAAUCAGAAAGCCACGGCUAACUACGUGCCAGCAGCCGCGGUAAUACGUAGGUGGCAAGCGUUAUCCGGAAUUAUUGGGCGUAAAGCGCGCGUAGGCGGUUUUUUAAGUCUGAUGUGAAAGCCCACGGCUCAACCGUGGAGGGUCAUUGGAAACUGGAAAACUUGAGUGCAGAAGAGGAAAGUGGAAUUCCAUGUGUAGCGGUGAAAUGCGCAGAGAUAUGGAGGAACACCAGUGGCGAGGCGACUUUCUGGUCUGUAACUGACGCUGAUGUGCGAAAGCGUGGGGAUCAAACAGGAUUAGAUACCCUGGUAGUCCACGCCGUAAACGAUGAGUGCUAAGUGUUAGGGGGUCUUCCGCCCCUUAGUGCUGCAGCUAACCGCAUUAGCACUCCGCCUGGGGAGUACGACCGCAAGGUUGAAACUCAAAGAAUUGACGG
rnacentral:rRNA from 1 species